rnacentral:rRNA from 1 species
UGGGGAAUAUUGCACAAUGGGCGCAAGCCCGAUGCAGCGACGCCGCGUGCGGGAUGGAGGCCUUGGUUGUAACCGCUUUGUUCAAGGGCAAGGCAGGCUUUCGGGCCUGUUGAGUGGAUUGUUCGAAUAAGCACCGGCUAACUACGUGCC